rnacentral:rRNA from 1 species
AUUGAACGCUGGCGGCAGGCUUAACACAUGCAAGUCGAGCGGAGUGAUGGUGCUUGCACUAUCACUUAGCGGCGGACGGGUGAGUAAUGCUUAGGAAUCUGCCUAUUAGUGGGGGACAACAUCUCGAAAGGGAUGCUAAUACCGCAUACGUCCUACGGGAGAAAGCAGGGGAUCACUUGUGACCUUGCGCUAAUAGAUGAGCCUAAGUCGGAUUAGCUAGUUGGUGGGGUAAAGGCCUACCAAGGCGACGAGCUGUAGCGGGUCUGAGAGGAUGAUCCGCCACACUGGGACUGAGACACGGCCCAGACUCCUACGGGAGGCAGCAGUGGGGAAUAUUGGACAAUGGGGGGAACCCAGAUCCAGCCAUGCCGCGUGUGUGAAGAAGGCCUUAUGGUUGUAAAGCACUUUAAGCGAGGAGGAGGCUCUUUUGGCUAAUACCCAAGAUGAGUGGACGUUACUCGCAGAAUAAGCACCGGCUAACUCUGUGCCAGCCGCCGCAGUAA